rnacentral:rRNA from 1 species
AACGAACGCUGGCGGCAUGCCUAACACAUGCAAGUCGAACGAGACCUUCGGGUCUAGUGGCGCACGGGUGCGUAACGCGUGGGAACCGGCACUUAGGUUCGGAAUAACUACCCGAAAGGGGUGCUAAUACCGGAUAAUGUCUUAGGACCAAAGAUUUAUCGCCUUUGGAUGGGCCAGCGUUGGAUUAGCUAGUGGGUAGGGUAAAAGCCUCCCAAGGCGACGAUCCAUAGCUGGUCUGAGAGGAGGAUCCGCCACACUGGGACUGAGACACGGCCCAGACUCCUACGGGAGGCAGCAGUGGGGAAUAUUGCACAAUGGGCGAAAGCCUGAUCCAGCAAUGCCGCGUGAGUGAUGAAGGCCUUAAGGUUGUAAAGCUCUUUUACCCGGGAUGAUAAUGACAGUACCGGGAGAAUAAGCUCCGGCUAACUCCGUG